rnacentral:rRNA from 1 species
UACGGAGGGUGCAAGCGUUAUCCGGAUUCACUGGGUUUAAAGGGUGCGUAGGUGGUCUGGUAAGUCAGUGGUGAAAUCUCCAGGCUUAACUUGGAAACUGCCAUUGAUACUAUCAGUCUUGAAUACCGUGGAGGUCAGCGGAAUAUGUCAUGUAGCGGUGAAAUGCUUAGAUAUGACAUAGAACACCAAUUGCGAAGGCAGCUGGCUACACGAAUAUUGACACUGAUGCACGAAAGCGUGGGGAUCAAACAGG